GGGUAUUGCCUCAGUAACGGCGUGGUGAACGGCAGUGCUCAAAUUUGAAAGCUGGCUCCUUCGGAGUCCGUAUUGUAAUUUGCAGAGGAUGCUUUGGGUGCGGCCCCCGUCUAAGUGCCCUGGAACGGGCCGUCAGAGAGGGUGAGAAUCCCGUCUUGGGCGGGGUGUCCGUGCCCGUGUAAAGCUCCUUCGACGAGUCGAGUUGUUUGGGAAUGCAGCUCUAAAUGGGUGGUAAAUUUCAUCUAAAGCUAAAUACUGGCCGGAGACCGAUAGCGCACAAGUAGAGUGAUCGAAAGAUGAAAAGCACUUUGAAAAGAGAGUUAAACAGCACGUGAAAUUGUUGAAAGGGAAGCGCUUGCGACCAGACUCGCCCGCGGGGUUCAGCCGGCAUUCGUGCCGGUGUACUUCCCCGUGGGCGGGCCAGCGUCGGUUUGGGCGGCCGGUCAAAGGCCCCUGGAAUGUAGUGCCCUCCGGGGCACCUUAUAGCCAGGGGUGCAAUGCGGCCAGCCUGGACCGAGGAACGCGCUUCGGCACGGACGCUGGCAUAAUGGUCGUAAACGACCGUC
rnacentral:rRNA from 1 species